rnacentral:rRNA from 1 species
AGUGAACGCUGGCAGUAGGCCUAACACAUGCCAGUCGAACGGCAGCACAGUAAGAGCUUGCUCUUACGGGUGGCGAGUGGCGGACGGGUGAGGAAUACAUCGGAAUCUACUUUUUCGUGGGGGAUAACGUAGGGAAACUUACGCUAAUACCGCAUACGACCUACGGGUGAAAGCAGGGGAUCUUCGGACCUUGCGCGAUUGAAUGAGCCGAUGUCGGAUUAGCUAGUUGGCGGGGUAAAGGCCCACCAAGGCGACGAUCCGUAGCUGGUCUGAGAGGAUGAUCAGCCACACUGGAACUGAGACACGGUCCAGACUCCUACGGGAGGCAGCAGUAGGGAAUAUUGGACAAUGGGCGCAAGCCUGAUCCAGCCAUACCGCGUGGGUGAAGAAGGCCUUCGGGUUGUAAAGCCCUUUUGUUGGGAAAGAAAAGCAGCAGGUUAAUACCCCGCUGUUCUGACGGUACCCAAAGAAUAAGCACCGGCUAACUUCGUG